UCUGAUCAAUUCUGAUACCUUUUAUGUGACUGUUGGAUGAAACAUGCGGAUAUGGGACUUAGAUCAGAG
rfam:Salmo salar isolate Sally breed double haploid chromosome ssa27, whole genome shotgun sequence.